UUGAACGCUGGCGGCAGGCCUAACACAUGCAAGUCGAGCGGAUGAGGAGUGCUUGCACUCCGAUUCAGCGGCGGACGGGUGAGUAAUGCCUAGGAAUCUGCCUGGUAGUGGGGGACAACGUUUCGAAAGGAACGCUAAUACCGCAUACGUCCUACGGGAGAAAGCAGGGGACCUUCGGGCCUUGCGCUAUCAGAUGAGCCUAGGUCGGAUUAGCUAGUUGGUGGGGUAAAGGCUCACCAAGGCGACGAUCCGUAACUGGUCUGAGAGGAUGAUCAGUCACACUGUAACUGAGACACGGUCCAGACUCCUACGGGAGGCAGCAGUGGGGAAUAUUGGACAAUGGGCGAAAGCCUGAUCCAGCCAUGCCGCGUGUGUGAAGAAGGUCUUCGGAUUGUAAAGCACUUUAAGUUGGGAGGAAGGGCAUUAACCUAAUACGUUAGUGUUUUGACGUUACCGACAGAAUAAGCACCGGCUAACUUCGU
rnacentral:rRNA from 1 species